UACAGAGGGGGCAAGCGUUAUUCGGAAUUAUUGGGCGUAAAGGGCGCGUAGGCGGCCUGGCAAGUGGAAGGUGAAAUCCCUCGGCUUAACCGAGGAACUGCCCUCCAAACUGCUUGGCUUGAGUCCGGGAGAGGUGAGUGGAAUUCCCAGUGUAGCGGUGAAAUGCGUAGAUAUUGGGAGGAACACCGAUGGCGAAGGCAGGUCUCUGGGCCACUACUGACGCUGAGAAGCGAAAGCAUGGGGAGCGAACAGG
rnacentral:rRNA from 1 species